GGUCUAUAGCUCAGUCGGUAGAGCACCUGACUUUUAAUCAGGGUGUCCCGCGUUCGAGUCUCGCGGAUAGAUCACCA
rnacentral:tRNA from 1 species